UACUUGAUCAAUGAAGUGUGAAAUAUGAGAAGUGGGGAAGAAAUGCAUUGUGUGGAGAUCUUGGUCCUGGACAGCCUCAUCUGCUGGGCAGAGGACAGCCUCAUCUGCUGGCCAAGGUCUUCAUUGACCAAGGUGGUGCUGGCCAGAGUGCACGCAUCUGGACCCAACUUAAUUUUCAAAUGUGGACUCCUAGGCUUUCACUGGUAAGUUUGUUUGAUGCCUUCUUACCAAAUUAUGCUGUUGAGGAUUGCUAUUUGGAAUAAAGGGCAAGAAAGUUAUCAUUGGCACAGCUCUGUGGAGAUUACCAAGUCUAGACUCUAGAGAAGCCUGUAGUAUAGGCAGAAGGGAGCCACAAGAGAAGUGAAAUUUCACUGUAGGUUUAUGAAGUAGAUGCCAAGAGGAGGAGGUCAGAGGAGGGGCAUCCAGAGAGUUUAGGGGUAGACACACCCAGGCUCAUGGCAGGGCAAGCUGUGGCUGUGUUUUGAAGGAAAAAUCCAGAGAAGAGUGAAAUAAGAUUUUUGGGUUUGAGAAAGCAAGUAUUUAAAGAUAUAGAGAGGGGCACCUGGGUGACUCAUUCGGUUAAACAUCCGACUUCAGCUCAGGUCAUGAUCUCACGGUUUGUGGGUUUGAGCCCCGCAUCGGGCUCUGUGCUGACAGCUCAGAGCCUGGAGCCUGCUUCAGAUUCUGUGUCUCCCUCUCUCUCUGACCCUCCCCCACUCAUGCUC
rnacentral:lncRNA from 1 species